CCAAUAGCGUAUAUUAAAGUUGUUGCAGUUAAAAAGCUCGUAGUUGGAUUUCGGGGUCAGUAGGUCGGUCGUGCCACUGGUAUGAACUGGUUUUACUGAUUCCUCCCUCUUGAAGAACUGUAAGGCCAUUAAUGUGGUGUUGCAGGGAAUCAGGACUGUUACUUUGAAAAAAUUAGAGGGUUUAAAGCAGGCUUUAGCGUGAAUACAUUAGCAUGGAAUAAUGAAAUAGGACGUUUGAUCCUAUUUUGUUGGUUUCUAGGAUUGACGUAAUGAUUAAUAGGGAUAGUUGGGGGCAUUAGUAUUCAAUUGUCAGAGGUGAAAUUCUUGGAUUUAUUGAAGACUAACUACUGCGAAAGCAUUUGCCAAGGAUGUUUUCAUUAAUCAAGAACGAAAGUUAGGGGAUCGAAGACGAUCAGAUACCGUCGUAGUCUUAACCAUAAACUAUGCCGACUAGGGAUCGGAUGAUGUUAAUUUUUUAAUGACUCAUUCGGCGCCUUACG
rnacentral:rRNA from 1 species